rnacentral:rRNA from 1 species
GAGUUUGAUCCUGGCUCAGGAUGAACGCUAGCGGCAGGCUUAAUACAUGCAAGUCGAACGGUAAGUAUGAUAGCAAUAUUGUACCUAGAGUGACGUACGGGUGCGUAACACGUAUGCAACCUACCCAAAACAGGAGGAUAGCUCGGGGAAACUCGAAUUAACCCUCCAUGAGAUCAUAGAAUGGCACCAUUUGGUGAUUAAAACUCAGGUGGUUUUGGAUGGGCAUGCGUCUGAUUAGUUAGUUGGCGGGGUAACGGCCCACCAAGACGAUGAUCAGUAGGGGAACUGAGAGGUUGAUCCCCCACACUGGCACUGAGAUACGGGCCAGACUCCUACGGGAGGCAGCAGUAGGGAAUAUUGGUCAAUGGAUGCAAGUCUGAACCAGCCAUGCCGCGUGCAGGAAGAAGGCCUUCUGGGUUGUAAACUGCUCUUGUCAGGGGAUAAAAAUUCCAUGCGUGGAAGAUUGAAGGUACCUGGCGAAUAAGCCACGGCUAACUACGUGCCAGCAGCCGCGGUAAUACGUAGGUGGCAAGCGUUGUCCGGAUUUAUUGGGUUUAAAGGGUGCGUAGGCGGUUUUGUAAGUCAGUGGUGAAAUAUAGCAGCUCAACUGUUAGGGUGCCAUUGAUACUGCAGAACUUGAGUACAGAUGAGGUAGGCGGAAUUGACGGUGUAGCGGUGAAAUGCUUAGAUAUCGUCAAGAACACCUAUAGCGAAGGCAGCUUACUAGGCUGUAACUGACGCUGAGGCACGAAAGUGUGUGGAUCAAAUAGGAUUAGAUACCCUGGUAGUCCACACUGUAAACGUUGAUUACUCGCUGUGUGCGAUAUACAGUACGCGGCCAAGCGAA